CUCCAUGUCUGAGUCUGUUUCUAUUUUGUAGAUAGGUUCCUUUGUGCCAUAUUUUAGAUCCCACAUAUCUGUAUCACUAUGAAGUUUGAUUUUAUUUCUAGUCUUAAGUGUUAAAAAAAGAGAAGAAACCGCUCUGCAAGGGGACUUUUUGAUGGUUGGGAAGUGGCUGGUCUUCACAGCCACCCAGACAUUCUGAAAUACCAGGCUUAAUCAUGGAUGUAGGGAGGGGUUGGGCUAAAGAGAAGAACACAUUCUUUUUUGCCUUUUUUUUUUUUUUAAGGCUUCUGGCUUAUGGAAGUUCCCAGGCUAGGAGUUGAAUUGGAGCUGCAGCUGCAGGCCUACACCACAGCCACAGCAACAGGAGAUCCAAGAUGUGUCUGCAACCUACACCACAGCUCACGGCAGCACUGGAUCCUGAGAGAGGCCAGGGAUUGAACCUGCAUGUUCAUAGAUACUAUUCGGGUGCAUUACCACUGAGCCAUAAUGGGAACUCCAGAAACGCAUUCUUAACCUAACUCAGGUGACAGAGGAAAGGGCUGAAACCUCUUUCUUGGCAACUAAAGGAACUUUAUGGAAUUGCCCAAAGGUAGAGAGAUAUGGUCUAGAUGCCUCCAUUGUGUCUUUUCUGACUUGGGGAUUCAGGACCACCCCUCCUCUAACUAGAGUCAGGGAACUUGCAAAGGGCUUCCUUUGACUUUACAAACAAAUUGAAGCACUGAACUCCUUGAAAGGAUGGAGCCAAGUAGGUAUUAGAAUGGCCACCGUUACCAAAUGUGGCUUUCUUGGUUUUCAUCUCUGUGUCCAGAGCUGCUCUGGGCCCUGGGCCAUGUUAGUUCUAGGAGGGCUGAGAUUUCUAUUUAGUUCCUUUGCUGUUGCAGCCCUAACACCCUAGAAUAGUGUCUGGAACAUAAUAGAUCUUCAACAGAUAUUUAAGUGAAUGAAUAAAAUUAGGUAUAAGAAACCAGCUGUUUAAAAAAGCAGAAAGGGGGAGUUUUCCUUCUAGCUCCGUUGUUAAAGAGUCUGACUAGGAACCAUGAGGUUGUGGGUUCGAUCCCUGACCUCCUUCAGUGGAUUAAGGAUCUGGCAUUGCCGUGAGCUGUGGUGUAGGUUGCAGAUGCAGCUCGGAUCUGGCAUCGCUGUGACUCUGGUGUAGGCCGGUGGCUACAGCUCCAAUUAGACCUCUAGCCUGGAAACCUCCAUAUGCUGUGAGAGAGGCUCCCCCAAAUAAAAUAAAAUAAUAAUAAAAUAAAAUAAAGUGGCUGCAGAAAUUUCCAUACAAUGGAUGGACGAUCAUCAUUGACUUAGUGGCUUCUCUGUUGCUGACUAUCAGGUCCACAUUCCUUUUCUGCCCACUUACCCCCACCCCCUUUCUAGGCCCCUGUUACAUAGUCUCUGGUUGCUCUGAGGACUUCCCUUCCCAUACCCCUCAAGUACUCCAUUUCCCAAAUUACCUGCUUUUCUGCUCCCUCAACCCAAGCUUUGGUUCUUCAGAGUAGCUGAUUGGUGCAGGGGAUCAUUGGGAGCUUUGAACUGAACUCAGUUCUGCUCAUAUAUCAACAGCUAGCAGACCUCUUACAGGUCUCUUACCAGUCCAGAGCAACUUGCAUUGUUAAAAGAAGCAGCUUGUUAAUCCAAAUUAAUCUUUGCAUUGAGGUGGCUGAGCAAAUCAAAAGGAAAACUUUCUUUGUAGGGUAGGGAAACACUGGGUCAUGACGGUCACCUUACAACUAGGCUAAUCCUGCUUGAGACUCUUUCCUCUAACCAAGUCCCCUAAAAUAUUGCUGGCUUUCCAUAGUUGAGUUCAUUCCUUCACUUCUGACCCUAUAGAUCUAAACACCAGUAUUUGUUUUCCCUUCCCCCUCCUCUCCAGUGGUUUCCAUGGCAACAGUAGUUGCUAUUGAAAGGAAGGAGACAGGUGUCCCCACUGUCUUUUCUAACAGUGGGUUUAUCUAUAAAUUGAGAUUAGUCUCUUCUAAACAAGGCUAAUCAACAAAUAAAAGGAAUAAGAGUAAAACAAACACAAACUAGGGUUUAAGUCAUUUGUUUUCCUAAACAUCUGUGGUUAGUAACGCUGCGUCACCUUGACUUUCCUUUUAUCAUAUCAGUGCAUGUAUGGGUUAUGGUGGGAAAGGGCUGCUUGGAAGAGACUGGAAGCGGGAUGGGUCUGAGCAAGCAAGGGCUUAGGGCCAGAGGUCAGCUGUGGCAGCAAGGAGCAGAGUUAUCUGGACCAUUGCUAAAGAUCUCAGCCCAAAGGAAUCCACACUCAAUUAGUUUACAGUUUCACAGGAGGUGGGCGAUCAUAGUCAGAUGCCAGAGAUGAACUUGAAAGCAUUGGGGCCCAGAGCAGAGGCUGGGAUUAUCUCCCUGGAAAGGAGAAGCUAAGAGUCUACUUUAAAAGUAAACAUAUCUUGACUUCUGCCCUGGACAUUAUCUAGGACAAUGUUAAUGGGAUGGUUGGGAAGCCUGGGAAAGAGUGUACUUCAUGACCUCAACUCAUUUUAUUUAUUCUGUCAGAGAUAUCGGUCCUGUGCUGGGUCCUAUGUCAUUUAUUUAUUUGUUUAUUUAUUCCCCCCACCCCAAGGCAUAUGGAGUUCCCAGGCCAGGGAUCAGAUUUGAGCCAUAGUAACGACCUAGCUGCAGCUGCAGCAACAGGGCACCUUUAACCCAUGACACCUGACCAGGUAUCGAAUCUAUGUCCCAGUGCUGCAAAGAUGACCCUGAUCCCAAAGCACCACAGUGGGAACUCCCAAAGUCCCUUUUUAGACAAACGCAUCUUCUUUCUGACUAGGCUGCCCCCAGCUUUCUACACAGGCUUCUUUUUUGGCUGAUCAAAAAGAAACCCUCAGAAAUGUGGCUUCAUAAACCCUGCAGAUCAUUUCCCUGGUGAUGCAACCACAAGGCUGCCUGCCUUCUCUACCUCCUUGAAAGUCAGCUUCAUUCUGUCAAUGAAAAAUGUUGCCUGCCCUAUCAGCAGACUGAAAAUGCUGCAGCCAUCAAGGCACCAGCCACUAUGCUGCCCCUACGGUGAGUCCUGAGGGAACUAAGGAUGGAGGCAACAGGUUUACUGGCUGCCAAGCCCUCAGUCACUGCAGCUACUCCCAGUGGUGCACCCGGAGGGGACUCAGGGUGAGAAAGAACUGGUCCUGGAUAGCUAAGGUGAUAUCAAAACACCUUAGCACCAUAAUUUGAAAGGCAUAAUUUCAAUGAACCCAGACUCAAGCAUCUUUCCAUACACAGAAAAGCACUGUCACUUGGGAUGUCUGGUUUUCUUUAAUUAAUCUCUUGAUGCUCCAACUACCUGGUUGUGGUUGCGAAACUCCUAGUCCUGGCUCCUCACUCAACUCUUCAGAGUGGUCCCUUAGCUCUGAGAGGCUGUCUUCAGGAAUUAAGUCCUUGGAAAUUCCGCCCAGUAAAACAGAAUUCUCAAAUUUUAGGCGGUGCAUUUUUUUAUGUCAACAAUUGGUACCUUGCCUCCUCCUUGCAAUCCUCUUCUUCAUUAAACAGUUUUACAUACUGAGGUUUAAUGGACACCCAUUACACGGCACAUAUGUAAAUCAUAUAGUUUGAUGUUUUGAUAUGUGAAGUCAUCAUGAAACUAUGAUCUCAUCAUUACCAUCAAGAUGGUACCCCACUGUGUGGGCGGUACCACUAUUAGCUUAUCCAUGUACCUGUACCUGUUGAUGGACUUGGGGUUAUCUUGCAAAUAAAGCUGCCAUGAACAUUUGUGUACUGGUCUUUGUAAGGAUAGCGGCUAUCCUUUUUCUUGGGUACAUAUCUAGGAGCGAAAUGGCUGGAUCAUACGAUAGAUGCAUGUUCAGCUUUUUAAGAAAAUGUUUUCCAGUGUUGUAGCAUUUUGCCUUCCCAGCAGCAAUAGAUGAGAAUUCCAGUUGUUUUACAUCCUUGUCAGUAUUUGCUAUGGUCAGUCUUUUGAUUUUUAGUCGUUCUAACAGGUAUGUGAUUUUAUCUCAUUUUGUUUUAAUUUGCACCGACUUAAUGACUAAUGAUGUGGAACAUCUUUUCAUGUGGUAGUUUGCCAUGCAUGUAUCUUCUUUGAUGAAGUAUCUCCUCAAGACUUUUCUACAUUUUGGGAGAGGUUAUUUUGUUAUUACUGAGUUCUUUAUGUAUUCUGGAUCUAAGAUAUCAGACAUAUGAUCUGCAAAUAUUUUCUCCCAGUCUAUGGUGUGUCUUUUCAUUUUCCUAAUAGUAUCUUUUGAAGAGUAAAUGUUUAAAAUUUUGGUGAAAUACAGCUUAUCAAUUUAUUUGUUUAUUAUUAUUAUUUGCUUCUUAGGGCUGCACCCACAGCAUAUGGAAGUUCCCAGGCUAGGGGUCGAAUUGGAGUUACAGCUGCCGGCUAUACCACAGCCAUAGCAAUGCCACAUUUGAGCCAUGUCUGUGACCUACACCACAGCUCACGGCAACAGCAACACUAGAUCCUUAACCCACUGAGUGGGGCCAGGGAUGGAACAUCCAUCUUCAUGAAUGCUAGUCUGAUUUAUUUCUGCUGAGCCACAAUGGGAACUCCUAUCAAUUUAUUUUUUAAUGGAUAUUGCUUCUAAUAUCAUCCAUAAGAAAUAUUUACCUAAUCUAAGGUUACAAAGAUUUUCCCUUAUGUCUUCUCUAGAAGUUUUAUAAUUUUAUGUUUUAUAUUUAGGUCUAUAGACAUUUUAAAUUAAUUUUUGUACAUGGUGUGAAGUAUUAAUCAAUUCUUUUCCCCUUCACAGAUAUUUAAUUGUUCCAGCAGCAUUCGUUGAAAAGACUAUCCUUUUUCCACAGAAUUGCCUUAGCACCUUUGUCAAAAGUUAAUUUUUUUUUACAAUAUAUGUGUG
rnacentral:lncRNA from 1 species